rnacentral:rRNA from 1 species
GCAGUCGAACGGUGAAGCCCAGCUUGCUGGGUGGAUCAGUGGCGAACGGGUGAGUAACACGUGAGCAACCUGCCCUCCACUUCGGGAUAAGCCUUGGAAACGGGGUCUAAUACCGGAUAUGAGCCUGCAUCGCAUGGUGUGGGUUGGAAAGUUUUUCGGUGGGGGAUGGGCUCGCGGCCUAUCAGCUUGUUGGUGGGGUGAUGGCCUACCAAGGCGUCGACGGGUAGCCGGCCUGAGAGGGCGACCGGCCACACUGGGACUGAGACACGGCCCAGACUCCUACGGGAGGCAGCAGUGGGGAAUAUUGCACAAUGGGCGCAAGCCUGAUGCAGCGACGCCGCGUGAGGGAUGACGGCCUUCGGGUUGUAAACCUCUUUCAGCAGGGAAGAAGCGCAAGUGACGGUACCUGCAGAAGAAGCGCCGGCUAACUACGUGCCAGCAGCCGCGGUAAUACGUAGGGCGCAAGCGUUGUCCGGAAUUAUUGGGCGUAAAGAGCUCGUAGGCGGUCUGUCGCGUCUGGUGUGAAAUCCCGAGGCUCAACCUCGGGCUUGCAUCGGGUACGGGCAGACUAGAGUGCGGUAGGGGAGACUGGAAUUCCUGGUGUAGCGGUGGAAUGCGCAGAUAUCAGGAGGAACACCGAUGGCGAAGGCAGGUCUCUGGGCCGCAACUGACGCUGAGGAGCGAAAGCAUGGGGAGCGAACAGGAUUAGAUACCCUGGUAGUCCAUGCCGUAAACGUUGGGCACUAGGUGUGGGGCUCAUUCCACGAGUUCCGUGCCGCAGCUAACGCAUUAAGUGCCCCGCCUGGGGAGUACGGCCGCAAGGCUAAAACUCAAAGGAAUUGACGGGGGCCCGCACAAGCGGCGGAGCAUGCGGAUUAAUUCGAUGCAACGCGAAGAACCUUACCAAGGCUUGACAUGUACGAGAACACGCUAGAGAUAGCGGACUCUUUGGACACUCGUACACAGGUGGUGCAUGGUUGUCGUCAGCUCGUGUCGUGAGAUGUUGGGUUAAGUCCCGCAACGAGCGCAACCCUCGUCCUAUGUUGCCAGCGGGUUAUGCCGGGGACUCAUGGGAGACUGCCGGGGUCAACUCGGAGGAAGGUGGGGAUGACGUCAAAUCAUCAUGCCCCUUAUGUCUUGGGCUUCACGCAUGCUACAAUGGCCGGUACAGAGGGCUGCGAUACCGUAAGGUGGAGCGAAUCCCAAAAAGCCGGUCUCAGUUCGGAUUGGGGUCUGCAACUCGACCCCAUGAAGUCGGAGUCGCUAGUAAUCGCAGNUCAGCAA